AGAGCGAACGCUGGCGGAAUGCUUAACACAUGCAAGUCGCACGGGCAGCAAUGUCAGUGGCGGACGGGUGAGUAUCGCGUAGGAAUAUGUCCGGAGGUGGGGGACAACCCUGGGAAACUGGGGCUAAUACCGCAUAUGAGCUGAGGCUCAAAGCAGAGGUGCGCCUUUGGAGUAGCCUGCGUCCGAUUAGCUUGUUGGUGGGUAAAGGCCUACCAAGGCGACGAUCGGUAGCUGGUCUGAGAGGACGACCAGCCACACUGGGACUGAGACACGGCCCAGACUCCUACGGGAGGCAGCAGUGGGGAAUAUUGGACAAUGGGCGCAAGCCUGAUCCAGCAAUUCCGCGUGGGUGAAGAAGGUCUUCGGAUUGUAAAGCCCUUUCGGACGGGGACGAUGAUGACGGUACCCGUAGAAGAAGCCCCCGGCUAACGUCCGUGCCAGCAGCCGC
rnacentral:rRNA from 1 species